CUCCACUAGGCGGACAAGUCACGCCAACAAAACCUCUCUUCAUCCUCCGGCGCCCACUUCACACGGACAGACUGUGCUUUCGCGUGUGCUCUGCCCCGGCGUACGUCGAUCGAUCGACCAGUCUGGCCACGUCGAUGGCGGACGCGGCCGGGAAGGCGCAGGCGGCCUUCGCUUGCUACCUGCACCACCGCCGGUCACCGUGUCGCGCGAUCUUCGUUGACUGAUCGGCGAGGCCGCGUCGGAGGACGCCAUCAAGCCGCGCUACCGGCACCUCGUGCUGCAGCUGCACCCGACAAGAACAGGCACCCCAAGGCGGAGGUCGCCUUCAAGCUCGUCUCCGAGGUACGUAUUGGG